GUUCGUCGACACUACAAGUCACUUAGAUCAACUGAACACAGCAGUAACUCCUUUUCUGUGUGCUGGGCCAGCUGGAGCUCUUCCCCUUGGAGUCAUCUUCACAUCUUCUCAGGAUGAAGAAAGCUAUACUGCAGGUUUUCAGUUACUGAGGAAGGUGCUCGGUGAGACUGCCUUUUUCCAACAAGGGCAUCCAGCUUGUUUCAUAACAGACAACAGUGACGCUGAGCGUAAUGCCUUGAAGACUGUAUGGCCAGAAUCUCAGCGCUUUCUGUGCAUAUUCCACAUCCUGCAGCAGGUCUGGAGGUGGCUGUGUGAUGGUUCACAUGGCAUCAAGAAGGAAGAUCGCCGAGUACUAAUGACAGUGGCAAAGAAUCUGGUAUAUGCUGAUUCAGAUGAAACAUUUCAAGAUGAAUGGAAUUGCUUUUGUCAGACCCCAGAAGCCCAAAAGUAUAACCAGUACAUGAGAUAUAGGCUACCGUACAAGAGGGAAAAAAUACAUACGUUGGUAUCUGGCAAAGCUGAUAGAAAGGAAGGAAGAAUGGAGUACUGUGUACAGGGCUGGAUUUUUGCUACGUGGACACCACACAAAUAAUUUUGCAGAAUCUACCAUGUGCAUCAUUAAAGAUAUCAUUCUCAACAGAUGUAAAGCCUACAACACGACUCAACUGAUCAUGUUUAUGAAUGAAAUAUUUGAUGAAUAUAUGAAACAACGCCUCAUUGAUGUGUCUCUCUGUAGAAGGAAAGUAGUGAAGCCACCAACUGGGAUUUCCAUUAGUAAGGAAAGCAUCACUAGGUAUAAUGAAGAUCAGCAUCAGUUCAUAGUUAAAAGCCAGUCAAAGGAACAAAUACAGUAUACUGUAGAUCUUAAAAUUGGCUUGUGCGAGUGCAGUACUGGUAUGACUGGUAAAGUUUGCAAACAUCAGGCUGCUUGUUCAGAACAGUUCCUCUUGCAGUUACCUCAGAUAUUGGAAAAUAGCCCAGAAAAUAGGCACUGGCUUGCAAGUAUUGCACUUGGAAAUGAAAACGUACCACCCUUGGAUUUCUUUGUUACCUUGAAAGAAAACUCUGAAUCAGUAACAGGGGAUGAUCACUCACAUACUGGAGGAAAACAAAAGUCUCAUGGUGCAGCUCAUGAUGUAGAUAAUGUGGAAGUAGAGAUGCCACCUACAAACAUAAAGCCAGAAGUGGAAUGUAAUGAAACUGGAGACGUAAGUAAUUCUACCAAACCUACAGGUGCAGCAGUAUUACAAGUAAUAACAUAAAUUAAUGACACUAUGCUCCACCUUGCUACUCAGUAUGGAGAUGAACAGACUCUUGAGGGAAUGCAGAAACUGUUGUCAAGACUUAAAUCUGUUCGAACAUCAAAUCAACUGAACAGCCUUCUUCACAGCACUGGUAGUUCUGCUAUGCAGGG